rnacentral:rRNA from 1 species
GACGGAGGAUGCAAGUGUUAUCCGGAAUCACUGGGCGUAAAGCGUCUGUAGGUCGUUUAAAAAGUCUACUGUUAAAAAUUGAAGCUUAACUUCAAAGAUGCCGUAGAAACUUUUAAACUUGAGUAUGGUAGGGGUAGAGGGAAUUUCCAGUGGAGCGGUGAAAUGCGUAGAUAUUGGAAAGACCACCAAUGGCGAAGGCACUCUACUGGGCCAUUACUGACACUGAGAGACGAAGGCUAGGGGAGCAAAUGGG